UACAGAGGUCCCGAGCGUUGUUCGGAUUCAUUGGGCGUAAAGGGUGCGUAGGCGGUUUUCUAAGUUUGAUGUGAAAUCCCGGGGCUCAACCCUGGAAUUGCAUUGAAUACUGGGAGACUAGAGUACUGGAGAGGAAACUGGAAUUUACGGUGUAGCAGUGAAAUGCGUAGAGAUCGUAAGGAAGACCAGUGGCGAAGGCGAAUCUCUGGACAGUUACUGACACUGAGGCACGAAGGCCAGGGGAGCAAACGGG
rnacentral:rRNA from 1 species